rnacentral:tRNA from 6 species
CGGGGUGUAGCUCAGAUGGCUAGAGUACUGCGUUUGGGACGCAGGGGUCGUGAGUUCGAGUCUCACCACCCCGACAA